AUUCUCAUAUUCAUUCAACAGGUUUUGAAUGUUUCUACUACAGGUUGAUUAAUCCAAUUGUGGUUGCACCAACAAUGGCUGCUGUAGGUUUAGCAUUUUUCAGCUACGGGUUUCCUCAAGCUGGCAGUUGUGUUGAAAUAAGCAUACCCCUUAUAAUGUUGCUUCUUUUCUUCACCUUGUACAUUCGGGGAGUAUCUAUAUCAGGCCAUCGAAUUUUCCAAAUUUAUGCGUGUUGUGCCUGCUGUGCUGUGAUGUCGAGUUUUCCUGUGUUGGUGUGAUGCGUUGCUGUGUUGGUGUUGCUGUGUUGCUGUCUGCUUCUUUUUGCAGUGCUGUGUUGCGGUUUCUGGGGUGCUGUGAUGCUGAGUUGAUGUGCUUGCUCUGCUGCUUUGGUGUUGUGCUGCGUUUUGUUAUUUUUGUAGCCUGUUGAGCUGCUUAGUUUGGGCUGUUUAAUUUAGUUAGAUGUUUGCUGUUUAUAUGCUUCAUUAGAACAGGUUUUUGGAGUAUUAGAAGUAAAUUUUGUAACUUUAUAUAUAUGUUAUUGUUUAUAUAUCUAAU